rnacentral:rRNA from 1 species
ACAGAGGUGCCAAGCGUUAGGCGGAAUCACUGGGCUUAAAGCGUGUGUAGGCGGGACGUUAAGUGCCUUGUGAAAUCCCCCGGCUCAACCGGGGAACUGCUGGGCAUACUGGCGUCCUUGGGCCAAUCAGGGGUCGUCGGAACAAACGGUGGAGCGGUGAAAUGCGUAGAUAUCGUUUGGAACGCCGAAGGCGAAAG